UUCUGCAAUUACAGGGAAAAGUGCCGGUUGUGGUGAGGCUGGAGGGGUGUGUGGAGUGGACAAGGGAGUCCUGGGACAAGGGAAUCUUGUCCUCGUUUAAAUCAACACAGACUGAAAAGUGUGUGUGUGUGUGUGUGUUGGGGAGGGUGAUCAAUUAGGAUUAAAGGUAGCAAAUAAUAUGUUUUCAUUCUUGACUAAUCACAGUAAAAUUUGGAGCUCAGAACAUGGAACCCCACAGUGUGGAAGCAGGCCAUUUGCCCCAUUGAAUCUGCACCAACACUCUGAAGAGCAUCCCAUCUGGACCCACUCCCCUAACCUAUUCUGUAACCCUGCAAUCCCAUGUCUAACCCACUUAACCUGCACACCUCUGGACACGAUGGGCAAAUUAACAUGGUCAAUCCACCCAACCUGAACGUCUUUGGACUGUGGGAGGAAACCUGUAUAGACAGAGGGAGAAUGUGCAUACUCCGCAUACAGUCACCCAAGGCUGGAAUGGUCCCUGGUGUUGUGAGGCAUCAGUGCUAAGAAAGCCACUGCGUGACCCGGAUGCGAAUAGAGAUAAUCAAAACUGAUUCCUGUGCAAGUAGCAAUCCCAUUGCUGUUUAAUAGCAAAACUGAUGGAUAAAUUUAAGGUAGAGACCAUUGGCCUGAUUGAGGAUGAUGUACACAAGAAAUUGAGGGGAACAGGUUCCAGGAGAAGUGAGGCUUGGUUGAGAUCAUGUUUCACACAGCACACGGUCAGCCUGUGGUUUCACCCUGGAUGAAGAAUCUCAGAAUGUUAUCAUUUCAAAUCACAAGGAUCUUCAGAGAAGCAAUGUUGUCUGUUCAUGGAGAGAAGCCCUCAGGAAGCAGCAGCCAUAAUUACAGAUCGGACGAGUGAGCGAAUCCUUUCCCACACAUUGAGCAGCUGAACGGUCUCUCCCCAGUGUGAACUCGCUGGUGUACAGUGAGCUGUGAUGACCGCCUGAAGCCAGACCCACAGUGAGAGCACCUGAAUGGUCUCUCAUCAGAGUGAAUACGCUGAUGGGACAUCAAUUCUCCAGAACAUUUAUAGCACUUCCCACAAUCUGGGCACUUAAAAGGUCUCUCAUCAGUGUGAACCCGCUGGUGUUCCAGGAGGUGUGAUGACUGAGUGUAUCCCUUCCCACACUGGGAGCAAGUGAACGGCCUCUCCCCUGUGUGAACUCGCUGGUGUUCCAGAAGGUGGGAUGAUCGAGUGAAUCCCUUUAAACACUCAGGGCAGAUGAACGGCCUCUCCCCAGUGUGACUGCGUCGAUGAAUUUCCAGCUGGGAUGGGUAAUUGAACCCCUUCCCACAAUCCCCACAUUUCCACAAUUUCUCUGUGUGAAUGCUAACAUUUGCUUCCAUGAUCAAACUCUGAUGACAUUCAGGUCCUGAUGAAUUGAGUAUCUCAGUCAGAAUUUGAAGUGAUGUUUAGAUGGAGUUUCCCCAGUGCAAGUGUUUCCAUCUAACAUCCUGAAAAGGGAAGAUAAAACAGAAAUAAGGAAAUAUCGCAGAGAGCUCACAAGACAAAGGUAAAAUAUGGAAUUGAACUGAAUGAGUCUGGUAAUUUGUGCAGUGAGCCUUGGCAAAUGUGACUGUGAGAGCUGCUGGAUUGCAUUUAAAACCAAACAAGUUCUCUAAUGUCCUUAAGUAUAAGGAACUUGCUGCCUGGCCUGGACUGACACAUGACUCUUGCUUCCAAAGGAGGUCAGUGGAAGAUGGAGGAGCACGAAGGAGAUGGGCUCCACCUAUUUGCAGUUUAACUCAAAUGUUCACAGAACCUCCCUAACUCGCCAACUAGAAACACGAGAGCAGUUACUACGAGGGAAAACCAUCAAUUCCAUGACUCAUAGCAGCAGGUACAGCCUGGAGAGAGACCACUCAAUUACUCCAAGUGUUCCAAGCAUUUAAUCUAUCAUUGUACCUGUCAAGAAACCAGUGAGUUCAGAAACGAAUGCAGGAGUUGGAUGUUGCUGUCAAUCACAUCCAGGACUUAACUACACUAAUUCAGACAGUUGGGGAUUAUUCUAGCCUAUAGCUAGGAUAGCUUAUAUCUGUAAUAAUUUUGCAAUUGGUUCACUGCAUUUUAUAACCCACUGUGCAAAUGAAGUAUCUUUUGAAAAGCUGUCCUCUAGGUAUUUAAAUAUGAACAAUAAACAAUGAUUCACCUGUA